CAUUAAACCUGAUAGAAAUGAAAAGCCCGCAAGCGAGUGUAGCGAGUGCGGACUUUUAAUCUAUAGCAGGACUUUCG
rnacentral:misc_RNA from 1 species